CCUACGGGAGGCAGCAGUGAGGAAUAUUGGUCCAUGGACGAAAGUCUGAACCAGCCAUGCCGCGUGCAGGAUGACGGCUCUAUGAGUUGUAAACUGCUUUUGUACGAGGGUAAACGCCGAUACGUGUAUCGGGUUGAAAGUAUCGUACGAAUAAGGAUCGGCUAACUCCGUGCAAGCAGCCGCGUGAAUACGGAGGAUCCGAGCGUUAUCCGGAUUUAGUGGGGUUAAAGGGUGCGUAGGCGGUUUGAUAAGUUAGAGGUGAAAUGUCGGGGCUCAACCACGAAACUGCCUCUAAUACUGUUGGUCUAGAGAAUAGUUGCGGUAGGCGGAAUGUAUGGUGUAGCGGGGAAAUGCUUAGAUAUCAUACAGAACACCGAUUGCGAAGGCAGCUUACCAAACUAUAUCUGACGUUGAGGCACGAAAGCGUGGGUAGCAAACAGGAUUAGAUACCCUUGUAGUC
rnacentral:rRNA from 1 species